rnacentral:rRNA from 1 species
UACGUAGGGUGCGAGCGUUGUCCGGAAUUAUUGGGCGUAAAGAGCUUGUAGGCGGUUUGUCGCGUCUGCCGUGAAAAUUCGAGGCUCAACCUCGAACUUGCGGUGGGUACGGGCAGACUAGAGUGUGGUAGGGGAGACUGGAAUUCCUGGUGUAGCGGUGAAAUGCGCAGAUAUCGGGAGGAACACCGAUGGCGAAGGCAGGUCUCUGGGCCACUACUGACGCUGAGAAGCGAAAGCAUGGGGAGCGAACAGG